rnacentral:rRNA from 1 species
GCUGGCGGCGUGCUAACCAUGCAAGUCGAACGAGAAAGUGGAGCAAUCCAUGAGUAAAGUGGCGACCGGGUGAGUAACACGUGACUAACCUACCUCCGAGUGGGGAAUAACUCCGGGAAACCGGGGCUAAUACCGCAUAACAUCGCAAGAUCAAAGCAGCAAUGCGCUUGGAGAGGGGGUCGCGGCUGAUUAGCUCGUUGGCGGGGUAACGGCCCACCAAGGCGAAGAUCGGUAUCCGGCCUGAGAGGGCGCACGGACACACUGGAACUGAAACACGGUCCAGACUCCUACGGGAGGCAGCAGUGGGGAAUUUUGCGCAAUGGGGGAAACCCUGACGCAGCAACGCCGCGUGGAGGAUGAAGCCCUUUGGGGCGUAAACUCCUUUCGACUCGGACGAUAAUGACGGUACGAGUGGAAGAAGCACCGGCUAACUCUGUGCCAGCAGCCGCGGUAAUACAGAGGGUGCGAGCGUUGUUCGGAAUUAUUGGGCGUAAAGGGCGCGUAGGCGGUGCGGUAAGUCACCUGUGAAAUCUCCUGGCUUAACUGGGAGCCUGCAGGCGAAACUACCGUGCUGGA